GGAAGGGCAAGCCAAUUGGCGGUGGCCACAGUCUUGAAAACUGUUCGGAGCUAAUGACUCGUGUGGGUUCGACUCCCACCCCUUCCG
rnacentral:tRNA from 1 species